rnacentral:rRNA from 1 species
CUCCUGGAAAACGGGUGGUAAUGCCGGAUGCUCCAGUUGAUCGCAUGGUCUUCUGGGAAAGCUUUCGCGGUAUGGGAUGGGGUCGCGUCCUAUCAGCUUGACGGCGGGGUAACGGCCCACCGUGGCUUCGACGGGUAGCCGGCCUGAGAGGGCGACCGGCCACAUUGGGACUGAGAUACGGCCCAGACUCCUACGGGAGGCAGCAGUGGGGAAUAUUGCACAAUGGGCGCAAGCCUGAUGCAGCGACGCCGCGUGAGGGAUGGAGGCCUUCGGGUUGUAAACCUCUUUUAUCGGGGAGCAAGCGAGAGUGAGUUUACCCGUUGAAUAAGCACCGGCUAACUACGUGCCAGCAGCCGCGGUAAUACGUAGGGUGCAAGCGUUAUCCGGAAUUAUUGGGCGUAAAGGGCUCGUAGGCGGUUCGUCGCGUCCGGUGUGAAAGUCCAUCGCUUAACGGUGGAUCCGCGCCGGGUACGGGCGGGCUUGAGUGCGGUAGGGGAGACUGGAAUUCCCGGUGUAACGGUGGAAUGUGUAGAUAUCGGGAAGAACACCA